rnacentral:misc_RNA from 1 species
GCAUCGAUGAAGAACGCAGUGAACUGCGAUAACUGGUGUGAGUUGCAUGGCACUUCUAAUCUAACACCAAGCGAAUCAUCGAGUCUUUGAACGCAAACGGCACCCUUCCAGUCCAUUCCAAAGCGGUGGCGGAGGAUGAAGACAAGGGUAUCUCUGGCUGAGGGUAAUGAAAACUGAUCCAGUGUACCGACUGGUCACUGGGGAUUGGGCUUGCUUGGGGUAAUCAUUAAUUGCUCUGGCUUGCUUUAAAAUCAUGCGUUGUAUGGAUUGGACUUUCAAGCAUGCAUUGGGGACGCAGGCUCUGCGCUAUAAGGCAAGCCCUUGACCGUCAUAGGUGCUUUGAUUGGGGUCUUCAGUCUAGCCAACAAAGGCUGGGUUGGAACUUUGGGGCUGCAUUGGGGGCGUAGGGCAGCUCUGUUCGUGGCGUCCGAUGACCGUCAUGGUGCAUGAUUGGACUUCAACUAGCAAUUAUUGUUAUUAUUAUCAUUACUUAUGGGUUACCUCAGGUCAGAGAAGACUACCCGCUGGACUUAAGCAUAUCACUAAGCGGAGGA